GCCGUGAUGGUGUAACGGAAGCAUAUGCAUUUCGCCAAUUGCAAGGUGCCGGUUCGAUUCCGGUUCAUGGCUCCA
rnacentral:tRNA from 2 species